CUGUGAUAUGCUGCUUAGAGCUCGCUCUCCACCAACCAAAACACAUUUUGUUUCCAAUCAAUAUUUUAUUUACUGCAUGCGUUCAUAUUAUGACAACAUGCUCUUCAAAACAAAACAAAAAGACAAAAACAGCAAAGAUUUAAAAAUAAAUGGCAUGAUCAUGUAUUAAAAACAAAGUAAGAGGUUCGACUAAAAAGCACACAGAUUUAUAGGGAGAACUUUGAAAGCAGAAACAGGAAUAGUGUCGAGGUGAAUGAGGGAGGGGGUGAAUAUGCUUUACAAAGUGAUUCAAUGUUAAAGUAUUUUAGUGUUCUGAAGGGCUUUAAGCCAAUUAGAGUAAGAAGAUAAACCUAUUUCAAAAUGAUUUGAUUUGUUUCAUUGUAAAGUUUUAAUUAGAAAGUCCUGUGUGUGUGUGUGUGUGUGUGUGUGUGUGUGUAUUGAGGUGUGUGUGUGUGUGUCUGUGUAUUGAGGUGUGUGUGUGUGUGUAUUGAGGUGUGUGUGUGUGUGUCUGUGUAUUGAGGUGUGUGUGUGUGUAUUGAGGUGUGUGUGUGCGUGUGUGUGUGUAUUGAGGUGUGUGUGUGCGUGUGCGUGUAUUGAGGUGUGUGUGUGUGUAUUGAGGUGUGUGUGUGCGUGCACACGCCCAUGUGUUUUCUUUCUCAGCGACACAGGUAAAAGGAGAAUAGUGAUUUUGAUUGGCAUAUCAUUUCAUAAAACAACAUUUACAUAUUAAUGAUACAACAUACAUGAUACAGUAAUAAGGAGUAAAAAUUAUAGUGAUAAAACAAGAAAUAACAUAAAAAAAGGAGCAUUAUUUGUUACAAAAUGAAGCUACAUAGUAACACGUAAUCAGCUUCUAUACCAGUUGGAACCAGUUGGAACCAGUUGAAACCAGUUGGAACCAGUUGAAACCAGUUGGAACCAGUUGGAAACACCAUCAGAGCAUUAAGCAGUCCGUAUAUACAGUGCUAAACUACACCUACUAUGCUGGUGUCACUAUAAAGGCUGGCUGGUGCAUUAUAAAUAAGCUAAAACAGUACACUGUACUCAUGUAUGGCAAAAUCAUAUUGGUAAUACAGUAUAAUACUAUAUGUUUAUAUUGUGUCAUCUUCAAUUAAGUAUAUUCAUUUGAUUAUUUGUUUUUGAAUUUAGAUUUCUUAUGACAUGACAGGUCAGGUAAGAUUUAACACAUACUGGUCAGAGGGAUAUUGUGUCAAUACAUCUGUUUCAACCAACCAGGGGCCUGUAUUUGUGAUCAAAGAUAUUUUUUUUGGACAUCGACAAUGGGAACUUGAUCCUAGAUCAGCACUCCUACCCUGAGAACUGAUCCUAGACCAGCACUCCUAUCCUGAGACCUGAUCCUAGCUCAGCACUCCAACUCUAAGGCGAUUUCUGAAAACGGGCCCAGGUCUCUGUAUUGGAGAGAGAUGGUGCAUUCUGAACUUGAGAUGGGAAUAGGUAUUUUGUUAACUUGAGAUAUUCAGAUACCAGAUAAUAUCCAAAGGGGUCCUUCAUCACGUAGUAAUACAUGUAUAUACUAAAUUCUGUAUUACAUGACAUAUGAGGAACACAAUCAAUGUUGUUUCAAAGAGGACAGUGGUCAGUGAGUAAGGAAAAGAUAUCACUACAAAAAGUAUAGGCUAAUAACAGAGUACAUGUGAAGAGGUGUGUUUUCCAGAGGAGAUACUUAUAAACAUGGCUGAAGGGAAAGGGUGUUGUUUCCCGUCAGGGAGGGGAAGACGAAAAGCGUUACACAUAUUCAGAGCAAUGAAUGGAAAGGCUAGAAUAAUACAAUACUCCAGUGUAUAAAUCCAUCACUCUUUCAGUAGGCUGCCAGCGUGGCUUCUGGCCAAACCGUUUUCUCCUUCAGUUACACAAGGCCAUGUCACAAAAUGGCCACCUUUUGUUAGUUUAAAUAAAUAGGAUUUUAAACACUCUGUGGCUCAAACAUGAACAGCAUUCAAUCAAUCAGCAUUCAAUCAAGUCCAUGAGCUGCUUCUGUCUUGAGAUAAGCCAACCUUCUUGUAGAGAAAGAUAAGGCACCAGCGGUUUAAAAAACACCAUUCAGAUGUUGAUAUUUGUGUGGGUUAUCAACAUCAUCAUCGAGAGCAGAAAGAAAUCGCCAAUCUUCUACAAUUCAAGCAUAUAAAUUUAACAUACAUGUAGCUAAGAAAGUACUUUGUCUAAAACACAAAUGUAGUAUUUGCUAGUGGUCCAGUGAGUGAGUUACCGUGUACUAAGUUUCCAGUGGGCAAGUUACAGUGUACUAAGUAUUUUCAUUGUUCUUCAAACAUAUAGUCAGUGUUGGACCUGAACAAUGGAUGCAGUUAUCAGCUGCUGAGAUCAUACAGUGUUCCAGAUCAUACAGUGUUCCAGAUCAUACAGUGUUCCAGAUCAUACAGUGUUCCAGAUCAUACAGUGUAUAUACAGUGUUCCAGAUCAUACAGUGUUCCAGAUCAUACAGUGUAUAUACAGUGUUCCAGAUCAUACAGUGUUCCAGAUCAUACAGUGUUCCAGAUCAUACAGUGUUCCAGAUCAUACAGUGUAUAUACAGUGUUCCAGAUCAUACAGUGUUCCAGAUCAUACAGUGUAUAUACAGUGUUCCAGAUCAUACAGUGUUCCAGAUCAUACAGUGUUCCAGAUCAUACAGUGUAUAUACAGUGUUCCAGAUCAUACAGUGUUCCAGAUCAUACAGUGUAUAUACAGUGUUCCAGGUCAUACAGUGUAUAUACAGUGUUCCAGAUCAUACAGUGUUCCAGAUCAUACAGUGUAUAUACAGUGUUCCAGAUCAUACAGUGUUCCAGAUCAUACAGUGUAUAUACAGUGUUCCAGAUCAUACAGUGUUCCAGAUCAUACAGUGUUCCAGAUCAUACAGUGUAUAUACAGUGUUCCAGAUCAUACAGUGUUCCAGAUCAUACAGUGCAUACACAGUGUUCCAGAUCGUACAGUGUAUAUACAGUGUUCCAUCCAGUCAUAUAAUUAGAAUUAUUCUAACUCUAUGGUUCCAGUACAGUGUUCCAGAUUAUACAGUGUAGCUGUGCUGCUGAGAUCAUACAUUGCAGAGCCAUACUGUGUAUUUAGAAAGAUAUGGUUCUUAUACAGUGUACAGUGUUUAUCCUCAGCAUUGUGCAAUGUUCCCAGUUAUCUGAGUUGAUAUCCAGUCUUAUCAUGGCGAGUCAUUCCUUGUAGAUAUAAAAUGUAUUUACUCCUGUGAAUCAAUGCAUUUAAAAUUCAAAUGUGUUUCUUUAUAUAACAUUGGCCUUCGUGGAUCAGCUAGCUACCUAUAUAGAUCCAUCAUCACCAAAAACAAGCUGAUGUAGCUGAAAUCACAUUACAGCGACCAGUAGCUUAUCUGUUACGCCACAUUUAUGCACUACGUACGCAGUGCAAGUAGUGCACUAUAUAGGGAAUAGGGUUCUAUAGGGCUCUGGUCUAAAGUAGUGCACUAUAUAGGGAAUAGGGUUCUAUAGGGCUCUGGUCUAAAGUAGUGCACUAUAUAGGGAAUAUGGUUCUAUAGGGCUCUGAUCUAAAUUAGUGCACUAUAUAUAGGGAAUACGGUUCUAUAGGGCUCUGGUCAACAUUAGUGUACUAUAUAUAGGGAAUAGGGUUCUAUAGGGCUCUGGUCUAAAGUAGUGUACUAUAUAGGGAAUAUGGUUCUAUAGGGCUCUGAUCUAAAGUAGUGCACUAUAUAGGGAAUAGGGUUCUAUAGGGCUCUGAUCUAAAUUAGUGCACUAUAUAUAGGGAAUACGGUUCUAUAGGGCUCUGGUCAACAUUAGUGUACUAUAUAUAGGGAAUAGGGUUCUAUAGGGCUCUGGUCUAAAGUAGUGUACUAUAUAGGGAAUAUGGUUCUAUAGGGCUCUGAUCUAAAGUAGUGCACUAUAUAGGGAAUAGGGUUCUAUAGGGCUCUGGUCUAAAGUAGUGUACUAUAUAGGGAAUAGGGUUCUAUAGGGCUCUGGUCUAAAGUAGUGCACUAUAUAGGGAAUAGGGUUCUAUGGGGCUCUGGUCUAAAGUAGUGAAUUAUAUAGGGAAUAGGGUUCUAUAGGGCUCUGGUCAACAUUAGUGUACUAUAGAUAGGGAAUAGGGUUCUAUAGGGCUCUGGUCUAAAGUAGUGUACUAUAUAGGGAAUAUGGUUCUAUAGGGCUCUGAUCUAAAGUAGUGCACUAUAUAUAGGGAAUAGGGUUCCAUAGGGCUCUGGUCGCUUUAUAGGGAAUAGGGUUCCAUAGGGCUCUGGUCUAAAGUAGUGCACUAUAUAGGGAAUAGGGUGCCAUUUGGACGCAUCCAGUGAGUAAAUCAAUCUGACCCAGAGUAAAGCAGCCCGGUACGUAAUAACGUUACUCAUGAUACGCCACUGAGAUCAGCUGUGAACAUGGCUCCCCUUAUUAUUUGCUGAGGCACAGCCUGCGUCCCCAAUGGUACCCUAUUCCCUAUUUAGUACAUAAUAGAGUGAAGGGGGUUCCAUUUGGGACUAAGACACAGUGUUCUAGAACCAAAUGGAAUUACCAUGAAACAUUAAACCAUUAGUUGAAAACAGGGUUUUGUUUCAGUCAUUAGGAAAGGUUAGAGUGUAGAUAAGAAAACCAGUUCAGUAAAAUGUGUAAGGAUGCUAUAAAUUGGCAAAAAAAACAUAGUUAUUAAGACAUAAUAUACAGUGCAUUCAGAAAGUAUUCACACCCCUUGACUUUUUCCACAUUUUGUUACGUUAAAACAUUAUUCUAAAAUGGAUUAAAUCGUUUUUCCCCCGUCAUCAAUCUGCACACAAUACCACAUAAUGACAAAGCAAAAAAAUGGGUUUUAGAUUUUUUUUUGCAAAAGUAUAAAAGAAACAAAAACAGAAAUAUCUUAUUUACAUAAGUAUUCAGACCCUUUGCUAUGAGACUCUAAAGUUCAGGUACAUCCUGUUUCCAUUGAUCAUCCUUCUCUGGUCUGAUGAAACCAAGAUCUUUGGCCUGAAUGCCAAGCGUCUGGAGGAAACCUGGCACCAUCCCUACUGGGGAAGCAUGGUGGUGGUAGCAACAUGCUGUGAGGAUGUCUUUCAGCGGCAGGGACUGGGAGACUAGGCAGGAUCGAGGGAAAGAUGAAUGGAGCAAAGUACAGAGAGAUCCUUGAUGAAAACCUGCCCCAGAGCGCUCAGGACCUCAGACUGGGGCGAAGGUUCACCUUCCAAAACGACAACGACCCUAAGCACACAGCCAAGACAACGCAAAAAGUAUAUAUAUUUUUUGAAUAAGGUUGUAACUUAACAAAAUCUGGAAAAAGUCAAGGGGUCUGAAUACUUUCCCGAAUGCACUGUAAGAGUAAAUCAUCAUGAUAGACAAGCGUAUCACAUCAUAUACGGCAUAGGAGCUUGGGUGGAUACAGUUCCACAUUCAUGCCUCUCUCAUAAGUUUGAGAGCAGAACAAAUAGUUUUUCGAUCCCCUAUUGGAAGGAAAGAGCCAGAGAGAGAGGAGAGAGGAGAGAGUAGAGAGAGAGAUGGGAUAGGAGGUGUAGUAGUUAAGAUACCCUGGGUCAGUCAGGGGAAACGUUCAAAGCAACAUACUAGUUUGCAUGCUUAGUUUCCUCUCCUCUCACGAGCAGCUGCUUUGUAUGAGGAAGUUGAAGUCAGAGUGUGGCGGUGUGGUAGAUGCGUUCUCC
ensembl:lncRNA